rnacentral:rRNA from 1 species
UAGGGAAUCUUGCGCAAUGGGCGAAAGCCUGACGCAGCGACGCCGCGUGCGGGAUGAAGGCCUUCGGGUCGUAAACCGCUUUCAGCAGGGACGAAAUUGACGGUACCUGCAGAAGAAGGCCCGGCCAACUACGUGCCAGCAGCCGCGGUGAUACGUAGGGGUCUAGCGUUGUCCGGAAUUAUUGGGCGUAAAGAGCUCGUAGGCGGUUCGGCAAGUCGGAUGUGAAAUCUCCACGCUUAACGGUGAAGGGGCCAUUCGAAACUGCCGUGACUCGAGUCCGGUAGGGGAGUUCGGAAUUCCCGGUGUAGCGGUGAAAUGCGCAGAUAUCGGGAGGAACACCAGUGGCGAAGGCGGAACUCUGGGCCGGAACUGACGCUGAGGAGCGAAAGCGUGGGGAGCGAACA